CUUGUAGUUGCUUAUUGUAGCAUCUUUGGGUUUUAUAAAAGCGAUAUAAAAUCAUAUGUAUUAAAUGAAAAGCCUAAUUUCUGCAAAUUAUUAAUUGCAGAACUGCCUACAUCCUGGCUUAAAACCCUAUAGAGUCUAUUGACGCUCCGAAGAGUCAAUCUAUGUAACAUAAUACAAAAAUCUGUCAGUUUAAGCUAGAGAUAUCAGUUUUUUGCACGGGCUAUGUCUAAAUCCACCGCAUCCGCUUAUGGCGGCCUUCUGCAUCUGUGGUGGAAGGUGGCAGAGCUACAACGGUUUUUGUAAGACCAUGAAAUAUCCUGAAAAUUGGUCUUGUCACGAAAAUGACUAGCAUUCGGACGGUUUGGCUUGUAUGACCAAUUUAUGGAAAGAUAGUGUUCUCUGUUUUGCUCUAUGACCCCGACAAGUGUCAGGAGACUCAUCUGAAGGACCUGAGCCCUAGGACCAUGCCUCAGGACUACCUGGUAUGAUGACUCCUUGCUGUCCCCAGUCCACCUGGCCGUGCUGCUGCUCCAGUUUCAACUGUUCUGCCUGCGGCUAUGGAACCCUGACCUGUUCACCGGACGUGCUUGUUGCACCCUCGACAACUACUAUGAUUAUUAUUAUUUGACCAUGCUGGUCAUUUAUGAACAUUUUAACAUUUUAACAUUUUGACCAUGUUCUGUUAUAAUAUCCACCCUGCACAGCCAGAAGAGGACUGGCCACCCCUCAUAGCCUGGUUCCUCUCUAGGUUUCUUCCUAGGUUUUUGGCCUUUCUAGGGAGUUUUUCCUAGGGACUUUUUCCUAGCCACCGUGCUUCUUUCACAUGCUUUGCUUGCUGUUUGGGGUUUUAGGCUGGGUUUCUGUACAGCACUUUGAGAAUAUCAGCUGAUGUACGAAGGGCUAUAUAAAAAUAAAUUUGAUUUGAUUUAAUCACCUGGAAGGUAUUUC
rnacentral:lncRNA from 1 species